rnacentral:lncRNA from 1 species
CGUUCAUUGUUUUCUUUAGCACCAACAGGUACGCUGUAGACUUUCAAGAUGACAGAACAGAGUUUAAUUGGAUACUAAUCACGCGUGUUUGUGAUAAAUCGGAGUGGGUAUACAGGGGGCUCUACAAGGGGCCACUGUUGACAUCUGGCUACCUCAAGCAACACCAGAUAAACCAGAGUUUGAAAGCGGUAAUUCUAUGUCAGGACAUAAUAUUACGUUCCUGAGUUAAUCUGUCAGAUCUGUUUUUUCUGAAUCUGUAGCCCUGAAAUCGGUGCAAAGAUCAGCCAAAGAUAACAGCAGUCUGUGGUAGGCAGCUUCAUAUAUAUACUGUACGAGGAUCAUCCCAACCAAGUUCCUCGUCUCGCCCACAAAGCGACUUGAACCCGCAGGAGCCCAGGUACCAAGUUUGAUUGUCACGUCCUGACCAGACACUGAUUUCUGCUGUGUUGAUCUAAUGGGCCGUUUUCGGUGCUGUACACGGUGACCUUUGACAAGCACUAAUGAAAUUGGUCUAGAUGACGCGUGGUACACCGUGACUUUAAGAACGCAGGAUAUCAAAGACAUUGUUGUCAUCUGCGUGUGUGAAAUUAACUAGAGCGCCUCACCGACAAAAUGUCGGUUUAUUGGCAUUAGCGCAUGUAUACAGACUUUUCUCCGGCGGUAAGUUGGAAUGCAAUAAUCUCACCUUCUGCAGAAGCCGCGGCCAGGCAAAUUGAAUAAAUUGUCAUCACUCAACCAGGCGUUGUUUUCAACCUUUACAACGAAAACCAGGAACUGUCACUAUGGGAACGGCGGAUUGUAUUAUUGCGCAUGACUCUAUGAAGUGCUGAAGAGUUUGUCGGGUCCACUCGUUGCACGAGGCUCUAUUGGUGAAAACAUUUCAUUACCGUUCAGCACGCUGUUUCCCCAGCUUCAGUCGAUUACUUCACUGAGCAGACGACAGACCACACGCGGACCGAGGAGCCGGAGCAGACGAUCUCUCUCUCACUCUCCCGCCAAAAUGAUACGAAAUCAUAUACGCAAGAGUCACGAUCCAAAACGACGGGCGAGUUUGUGUUUGUCCUCAGACCCGAACCCCCUCCUUACUGAGGGGGUGAGAAGAAGGGGGUCCCUCUUCACCCCCACGGGGCCUCUCCUGACUGUCCCACCUGUAAGUGACCAGAGGCGGAGCUCAUUCCCGGGGGUGGGAUCAGGUUUACCGGUAACUACAAAUGGUGACAUUACCCGGCGACGAUCCUCGAGUGUCACCCCGGACAAGACUGGGGGAUUUACGGACAUUGAUGGUCAGCCAAACUGUAGGUCACUGAAAAUCGUCGUGUCAACGAUUGGAUUAUUUCUUGUGGCUGUCUUAGUGUAUUCCUUCGUGAGACUCGUCACAUGAGAAGCGACGCUGUCACGCACCAAGAUGUUCUAAAAACGGAUAAUUUCAAGGGACCAAACCGAAGAGUGUACAUAUCUAUCAUCGGCUGUAUAUUAUAUUUUUGCACGUUUUGCCUGUAAAUACCGACAUAUGACUACAACUAUUUUCAUGUUAUGUCUUUGACGAGACUUAUUUUCAAGAAUGUGGACAUGUGGAAGUUAUACAUCGUUGGACGUCAGAUUGAUCUACCAUAAUCACUUCAAUGGAUAUGUGCUUUUGUUUGUUUCUUAAUGGAUACUACUUAUACUGCAACAUUGCGAAACUUCAAUUUACCGAGAGGAAGAAGAGGCUCCGACCCGAUCAAUGGAACGGAAUCUUCUUACCGAAACAAUGCGCGAAAGGUUGAUGAGACUGCCCUACUUCUCUCGGAAGCUCGUUUUCAAGGGAUCAUUUCUCGGGUUACUGUGGGGGAAGACCUGUACGUGACGUAACGCUCACAACGGAAGACAGGAUGAGCGGUAUGCAUUUCAGGAGGGAGAUUAUCGUUGCACCGGAUGAGUUGUGGUGUUCAAGACGGCGAUAACACGAUGCACCUUUCACCUCGGUGUGACCUGCACGUGCUACCUGUUCAGUUGGUGUAACAGGUAUCUGUAGGUAUAUAAAUAGAUGAACUUUGAACUCGGACGGGUCUGAAUGGAAGUAAAUUUAGUAUGUACCUCAUUACUGAUUACAAGGAAUUCGACCCAUCUCUAAUUGUUUACAUUACUUAUCCAUUUUAGUGUUAACAAUCGCACGUGCUUGUAACACGGCAAGAGUCCAAUGCUAUUAAUUCUGUAUUUUGAAAGCACUACGCUUUUAGAGGGUUAAAAACUGCCGGGCUAAAUAAAGUAUGAAAUUGAAAAUUGGAUUUGACCAAAAAAUGACAAAUAUUACCAAAACGUUACUAGGCUGAAAACAGUCGCCGAAACAAGGUCUUAAACACAACUGUGAUACCCGUAUCAAAUACACCUCUAUCGAAUAACCUUUUUUAUAUUUUUAGCCACCAUCAAACACGGGUGUAUGCCUUCAUUUGCCCUGCAGUUUAUAUCUCAUAUUAAUCGGGUCGUCAGAUUGAAGGUUUUUUAAGUUUAAGGUUAUUUUAUUCAAGAGAAACCUCGUUAAUCCAGACUAAGCACUCCCAGUAAAGUCGUCCAGAUAAGCUAAUCAUAAUUCGUUGUAGUAUCUCUCUAAAAUACGUCAUGGAGUUAACAGUAAUCGCUUUGUUGUGACUGAUGGAUGUCCAGGGUCCUGGGUAACGAGGUUUCGGAGUAUACAAUGUCUUCGUCUCUUAUGAGUAUUAAAUGUGCAAAAAUUGUUAUAAUAAUUUAACAUAUGUGCUUAAAAAAUAUUAAAAAUGAAUGGAAGCUU